rfam:Fragilariopsis cylindrus CCMP1102 unplaced genomic scaffold FRACYscaffold_35, whole genome shotgun sequence.
AUGACUGUACUUUUAUAGAAUCUCUAUUUAUGUACUCUCCAAAUUUGACUAAUUCAAAUUUGAUAUCAACACAACCUGUGAUGACGAACUGAAGCAAGGUUGGAUUUUGUGAGAAGAUCGACGUUAUUUUACUCCGGUAAAUACGUUGUGGCGAAGAAACAGCGUCUCGGCAUGUUCUGCCUUGAUGCAACCAACCCUGCACUUUGAACAGG